rnacentral:lncRNA from 1 species
GCCAGGACAGCCUGGGUGAAGCAGGACUGUGUUUUGAUGAGCUGAGCAAGCCUGGGUGCGGGACCCUGAGGUUACGUAGCAGACCAGGGACCCCAAGGAAGACUGCAUGGAUUUUGUGGGCAAAAUCAGUCCAUUUCAGAAAUAGUUGGUGGUUUAAUUGAGCCUGUGGACCAACUUGCAAAAGCAGCAGAAAAUGAGAAGAGGAAGGUAGUUGGUGCUUGGAACUUGCUCCAAUUUAUGGCAAAACACAGAGAAGCCCAACAGCAACAACUUCUAGCACAAACAGCAGAAGAGAAAAUGUGGCUAAAAA